rnacentral:tRNA from 1 species
GGGUCGGUAGCUCAGCUGGUGGCAGCUUCGGAUUGUUAAUCCGACGGUCGUGGGUUCGACCCCCACCCGGCCCU